AUAAUAAGUAGCAGCGCAAGUUGCAGUGGAACGAAAAUCCGUUGGUUUCACAGGACCGUGAGGGUUCGACUCCCUCUAUCCCCAACGAGACACUUUAAAUUAACUCAUUUCAGGUUGUUUGGAUUCACA
rnacentral:tRNA from 2 species